GCCCCUAUGGUCCAAUUGGAUAGGUCGCCAGAUUACGAAUCUGGAAGGUGCAAGUUCGAGUCUUGCUAGGGGCUCCA
rnacentral:tRNA from 1 species